GACGAACGCUGGCGGCGUGCUUAACACAUGCAAGUCGAACGGAAAGGCCCUGCUUUUGUGGGGUGCUCGAGUGGCGGACGGGUGAGUAACACGUGAGUAACCUGCCCUUGACUUUGGGAUAACUUCAGGAAACUGGGGCUAAUACCGGAUAGGAGCUCCUGCUGCAUGGUGGGGGUUGGAAAGUUUCGGCGGUUGGGGAUGGACUCGCGGCUUAUCAGCUUGUUGGUGGGGUAGUGGCUUACCAAGGCUUUGACGGGUAGCCGGCCUGAGAGGGUGACCGGCCACAUUGGGACUGAGAUACGGCCCAGACUCCUACGGGAGGCAGCAGUGGGGAAUAUUGCACAAUGGGCGGAAGCCUGAUGCAGCAACGCCGCGUGCGGGAUGACGGCCUUCGGGUUGUAAACCGCUUUCGCCUGUGACGAAGCGUGAGUGACGGUAAUGGGUAAAGAAGCACCGGCUAAUUACGUG
rnacentral:rRNA from 1 species